UGAUUGGCGAGCGGUCGGGCGCUACGCGGAGUCAGGUCAGGUCGCGUGGGCUCGGUUUGGCGGUCGCGGCGCGGGGACCCUCUGCCUCCGGGAGGAGUCCCUCUGAGCGUCCCGGACUCCCUUCCCUGGCGGAAGUGCUGUGCCGGUUCCAAUUCCGACGCUGCCGGUCGGCGGAUUACUUGCUGGUCAUCAGGAGGAAAACAAGGACAGUGGGAAAAUGUGGCCUCUCCCAUCUUAGCCUAGAUGAAUCUUACUGGCACGAAACGUGGGCCGUGACAUUGUUGUGUCUCCAGCAUCAUCUGUGAGUAUUGUUCCCCCAAAUCUUUAACUUCAGCAUACUAAAGCAGGAACUACAGGAUUGAAGGG